CCUUCCGACCGAAAUUAUGUAUGGGUUGGAUGUGGGGGAGAGGUACCACGUGAAUCCCUAAAUGGUCAUGGUGGGUGUCUUUUUAACCAUAUAACAAUUAGGGAGGAUCUUUAUGGUGGAUUUUGUUCUCUUCGUAUCGUGC
rnacentral:misc_RNA from 1 species